rnacentral:ncRNA from 1 species
UAAUGGGUCAGCGACUUAUAUUUAGUAGCAAGGUUAACCGUAUAGGGGAGCCGUAGGGAAACCGAGUCUUAACUGGGCGUCGAGUUGCUAGGUAUAGACCCGAAACCAGGUGAUCUAGCCAUGGGCAGGUUGAAGGUUGAGUAACAUCAACUGGAGGACCGAACCGACUAAUGUUGAAAAAUUAGCGGAUGACUUGUGGCUAGGGGUGAAAGGCCAAUCAAACCUGGAGAUAGCUGGUUCUCCCCGAAAGCUAUUUAGGUAGCGCCUCGGACGAAUACCACUGGGGGUAGAGCACUGUUAAGGCUAGGGGGUCAUCCCGACUUACCAACCCUUUGCAAACUCCGAAUACCAGUGAGUACUAUCCGGGAGACACACGGCGGGUGCUAACGUCCGUCGUGGAGAGGGAAACAACCCAGACCGCCAGCUAAGGUCCCAAAGUAUAGCUAAGUGGGAAACGAUGUGGGAAGGCUUAGACAGCUAGGAUGUUGGCUUAGAAGCAGCCAUCAUUUAAAGAAAGCGUAAUAGCUCACUAGUCGAGUCGGCCUGCGCGGAAGAUGUAACGGGGCUAAGCUAUACACCGAAGCUGCGGCAAUAACUUUUAGUUAUUGGGUAGGGGAGCGUUCUGUAAGCCGCUGAAGGUGGACUGUAAGGUCUGCUGGAGGUAUCAGAAGUGCGAAUGCUGACAUGAGUAACGAUAAAGGGGGUGAAAAACCCCCUCGCCGGAAGACCAAGGGUUCCUGUCCAACGUUAAUCGGGGCAGGGUAAGUCGACCCCUAAGGCGAGGCCGAAAGGCGUAGUCGAUGGGAAACGGGUUAAUAUUCCCGUACUUCUUACAAUUGCGAUGGGGGGACGGAGAAGGCUAAGUGGGCCUGGCGACGGUUGUCCAGGUUUAAGUAUGUAGGCUGAUUUCUUAGGUAAAUCCGGGAAAUCA